GACGAACGCUGGCGGCGUGCUUAACACAUGCAAGUCGAGCGGUAAGGCCCUUUUGGGGGUACGACGAGCGGCGAACGGGUGAGUAACACGUGGGUGACCUGCCCUCAGCUCUGGGAUAAGCCUGGGAAACUGGGUCUAAUACUGGAUAUGACCUUUCCUCGCAUGGGGGUUGGGGUGGAAAGUUUUUCGGUCUGGGGAGUGGGCCCGGCCGGCCUAUCAGCUUGUU
rnacentral:rRNA from 1 species